CGGGGCCGCCGGGGGCCCGGAACCGGUCGAAACGCUUCGGGCGGGCGCGAUCGCCACGUUCCCGGUUGUCCCUCAUUGUCCUUGCCGGGCCCGCCGCGACCUUGUUGUGUGAGGGGAAAUUGGCGGGAACUUUUCGAACUCGGCGUGAUGACGUAGCGACGUCAGCCGCGGUGCAUAGUGGGAGUUGUAGUCCGUGUGGCGCGGUGGGGAUGGGGGGGAGGCCGCCAUUGCUGCGGGUGGUGUUGGUGGGGGGGGGUUCUGUGAGCUCUUCCUGCUCCCCUCAGGGUUUAGGUGGAGUUACAGGGGGAUGUGCUGCCUUCUCACCUUAGUAUCUCGCUUUCCUUGCAGGCUCCAGCUGAAGGCGAGGCAAAGGAGGAGCCAAAGAGAAGGUCAGCCAGACUAUCUGCUAAACCUGCUCCACCCAAACCGGAGCCAAAGCCCAAAAAGGCAGCACCUAAGAAAGAAAAAGCAGCAAAUGAUAAAAAGGAGGACAAAAAGGCAGCAACAAAAGGGAAGAAAGGAGCCAAAGGCAAAGAGGAAACUAAACAAGAGGAUGCUAAAGAAGAAAACCACUCUGAAAAUGGAGAUACCAAAACUAAUGAGGUACUUUAGCUCCACUAAAGCUGGGAACAGAGCCAGAUGUGCUGGAAGCACAGCUGCAGGAGCUCUGCUGGGCUCCGGAGGGUCGGGGGUCACUGCCACACUGGGAGGACAGUGCAGCUGUGCUACCUGCCCAGGGCAGCUCCCAGGGAGAGCCUGCAGGAAUGGCCUUCUCCUUGCAGCUCCUUCCUGCCCUGUGCUGGAGCCCUUCCACAGGUGCUGCCUGCUGGCCCUGGUCCCUCGGGGCUGGCUCACAGCCAUGCCCAGGAUUUGGGGCACAGUGGAGCCCAGGGACAUCACCACCCUCCAGCCCUGA
rnacentral:lncRNA from 1 species